rnacentral:rRNA from 1 species
CCAAGGAGUCUAACAUGUGCGCGAGUCGUCGAGUAAGAUAAACUCGUAGAGGCGUAAUGAAAGUGAAGCGACCCCGAUGAGGGUGCAUUCGUGCCGCGAGAUUUCGUGCCUAUUAAUACGGUCGAACGCAUCGCGGGGGCGGCCCGAGUUUCGAAUUUUAGAAACGAGGACGAACCUAGAGCGCACACGUUGGGACCCGAAAGAUGGUGACCUAUGCUUGACCAGGACGAAGCCAGGGGAAACCCUGGUGGAGGUCCGCAGCGAUUCUGACGUGCAAAUCGAUCGUAAGAGUUGUGUAUAGGGGCGAAAGACUAAUCGAACCAUCUAGUAGCUGGUUCCCCCCGAAGUUUCCCUCAGGAUAGCUGGUGCUCGUAUUCAGAGUUUCUUCCGGUAAAGCGAAUGAUUAGAGGUCUUGGGGUCGAAACGACCUCAACCUAUUCUCAAACUUUCAAUGGGUGAGAAGCCCGGCUUAUUUUCUUAAAUGAAGCCGUCGGCAAUUGAAUCUAAGAGUGCCCAGUGGGCCAAUUUUGGUAAGCAGAACUGGCGCUGUGGGAUGAACCAAACGCGCGGUUAAGGCGCCCGAAUCGACGCACAUAUCGGAUCCCACGAAAAGGAGUUGGUUGCUAAAGACAGCAGGACGGUGGCCAUGGAGGUCGGAAUCCGCUCAGGAGUGUGUAACAACUCACCUGCCGAAGCAACUAGCCCUUAAAAUGGGAGGCGCUAUAGCGUCGUGCCUAUACCGUGCCGUCGGUGUAUUGUCAUGCAGCUUGUGAGUUGUGUUGGAAACCCCGAUGAGUAGGGGGGUCGUGACGGUGAGCCGUUGAAGGGUACUGGGCGUGAGCCUGCCUGGAGCCGCCGUCAGUGCAGAUCUUGGUGGUAGUAGCAAAUACUCCAGAGG